rnacentral:misc_RNA from 1 species
UACAGAGACCUCAAACGUUAUCCGGAAUCAUUGGGCGUAAAGAGCUCGUAGGCGGUUCAGCAAGUCGGCUGUGAAAGUCCGAGGCUCAACCUCGGAAUUGCAGUCGAUACUGCUGUGACUCGAGUCCGGUAGAGGAGAACGGAAUUCUCGGUGUAGCGGUGAAAUGCGCAGAUAUCGGGAGGAACACCAGUAGCGAAGGCGGUUCUCUGGGCCGGCACUGACGCUGAGGAGCGAAAGCGUGGGGAGCAAACAGG